rnacentral:tRNA from 1 species
GCCGGAGUGGUGAAAUGGUAGACACAGGAGACUCAAAAUCUCCCGUCCGCAAGGUCAUGUCGGUUCAAGUCCGACCUCCGGCACCA